AUACUUACAUGGCAGGGGAGAUACCAUGAUCAAGGAGGUGGUUUUCCCAGGGCAAGUGAGGGUCAUCCAUUACACUCAGGACUGGUGAACCUCUGUGAUUUCCCCAAAGAUGGGAAACUCGACUGCAUAAUUUGUGGUAGUGGGGGACUAUGCUCAUGCCUUCCUC
ensembl:snRNA U1 U1 spliceosomal RNA